UACAGAGGGGGCAAGCGUUAUUCGGAAUUAUUGGGCGUAAAGGGCGCGUAGGCGGCCUGGCAAGUGGAUGGUGAAAUCCCUCGGCUUAACCGAGGAACUGCCAUCCAGACUGCUUGGCUUGAGACCGGGAGAGGUGAGUGGAAUUCCCAGUGUAGCGGUGAAAUGCGUAGAUAUCGGGAGGAACACCUGUGGCGAAAGCGGCUCACUGGACCACAACUGACGCUGAGGCGCGAAAGCUAGGGGAGCAAACAGG
rnacentral:rRNA from 1 species